AGGAGGACGGAGGAGGUCUGAGGAGGACGGAGGAGGUUUGAGGAGGACGGAGGAGGACGGAGGAGGUCUGAGGAGGACGGAGGAGGACGGAGGAGGUCUGAGGAGGACGGAGGAGGACGGAAGAGGACGGAGGAGGUCUGAGGAGGACGGAGGAGGUCUGAGGAGGACGGAGGAGGACGGAGGAGGUCUGAGGAGGACGGAGGAGGACGGAGGAGGUCUGAGGAGGACGGAGGAGGACGGAGGAGGUCUGAGGAGGACGGAGGAGGACGGAGGAGGACGGAGGAGGUCUGAGGAGGACGGAGGAGGUUUGAGGAGGACGGAGGAGGACGGAGGAGGUCUGAGGAGGACGGAGGAGGACGGAGGAGGUCUGA